AAAUAUAUUGAUCAGUUGUUAUAUCUUGAUGCGACAAUUAAUUUUAUUAAUGCUUGUUUGGAGACUUUCUGCAGGAUAAAGACAACAUUUGAUGUUAAGGAUUUUAUUUUUGGUGGUGAGAUCAUGUUUGAGAAAGCGGAAACUCCGCCUUUUACAUAUUCUUUUUGGAGGUAAAAAGUCAAGCUAAUGACUCUAAAAGAGCGCUACUUGGGAGGCAACCCAAGGUCUCUAUUAGUUUAUUUAUAUAAUAUAUUUUUGUAUUUUUUUAGGAGCUUAAAAUUUUUAUUUUCAUUUUUUUUACUCCCAUAAGAUGCCUUGAUGAAUUUGUGUGAAGUGUUUUCAGAUAUUAUAUCCAAUCACUCAUGCGGCUCCUUUUUAAAGUUCUAAUAGUUGUGGCAGUAGAUGAAAAAGAAAGGCAAAAAUAUUGAGCUUGUAGGAUGAAUGCAUGAGAAAGAGAGAAAGGAAAAAAAAAAAAAACAAGCUCUCUGUGCUUAAAAGAAAGAGCCGCGGUGCUGCCAAAUCUAGCUGCGGCUCCAAACCUUCUGACAUAUGCGCGCGCUUUCUGUGCUAUUUAGUAAACAGUAGAAGAAGAGCUGUGGUGCUGCGAUGUCUAGCUGCGGCUCCGGAGCUUCUGCCAAAAGCGUUGUUUGUUCCAUUUGGAAACAAUUCAACAGCCCGGCCCAUAUACCUCAUUGAAGUCCAGAAGCCCAUGCACGGAGCCCACAGUCCAACAGUCCAUUUGAAGUCUGGUGUUAUUUAAAAAAGAAAUGAGGCUUCAGGGAGUUGAUCCCUGUACCUCUGGAGAGGAGAUUUACAUGACACUUUCCAACCAGUGUGACAAUUGCUGCACUUGCUCCAAAUAUGCAUCCACUUCAACAAAAAAUUAAGAAUCCAAGAUCAAUUCAUCACCAGGGGAGUAUUCUAUUUUCUUUUCCUUUCUUUUUUCUUUUUCUUUUUUUCAACUUAUAUUAUAUUAAUAUAUUUAUAUAUAUCUAUGGCAUAUUUGUUCAUUGAGGACAAUGAACCACUUUAGUGUGGGGAUGGUUUCUCAAUGAUAAAAAAUUAAAAAAAAAUUAUUUAUUAUAAAAUUCAAAAAAAAAUAGGAAAAUUAGAAAUAAUUGUAUAUUGCCAUGUUUUAAAUUAGGAAAUUCAUGUUAGUUGCAUUUAAAUUAGAGCAUGUAGUUAUUAUUUUGUAUGCAUUUUUUUUAGUAGUUUUUUUUUUCCAUUUAGCUUGCAUACUUCAUGAAUGUAAAUAAUACCAAGUUAAUUUCUCGUGAUGAUUUUAUUUGCAUAAUUUCUUGGCUAGUAGUCUUGAUCAUAUGUGAUGUCUUGCAUGCUUAGAAAUUGCUUGUGCGGAAAUUUUAAUUACACUAUAAAAUGCUCUAGAGACAAGACUUAGGCUAACUUAAUUCUUGAGUUUUAUCUAUGAGUCGAGUGUAGAAUUUUGACUAUUCCCUUUUGAGCUUAGAGUAUGUAAAUCUUAAGUUUAGGGGAGCUUUAGGAUGUAUAUGCCUUUCUUAAAAAAAAAAGAAAAAAAAAAGGAAUAGUGCAAAAAAAGUAUCGAGUACUCCUUUGAGAUCAACGGGUGGUAAAUCUUGAAAAGGACUAUCCAUGUACUUGUGCUGGUAUUAAGUGCAAUUGUACUAGAAAUAAAUUUUCUUGGUGACUUUUCACAACCCUUGGUUACUGGAGAAUUACUUGACUUUGAAAAAAAAAUAAAAUAAGCUAACGAAGUCUUAUGGUGGUCGUAACUCACUUAACUUGAGAAGCUUCCCAACCUUUGACUGAGCGUGAAAAAAAAAUCAAAAAAAAGAGUAGAAAAUAUAAGAGAGGCAUAGAAGUUCUUUUGCGACCCUGAGCUGUAGUUGACUCUAAUGUAACGAAGUGUUUAAGCAUUAUUCUGAUUGACGACUCAUGGUUAAGACUCUGUUGAAGUUUGUUGGUCUAUAUUUUGUUUCACUAGAGGGCAUGUUCAGCACACACGACGCACUCCGUACUUGCAGUGGAAGAGUUGUAUGACUAAUAUGUGAUCUAGAUGAAUGCCUUGAUUGUUGCAUAUUCUGAGGAUAUAUAUUGACGAGGUUGAUGCUUUCAUGAUUUGUUUUUAGGUCUAUUCAUUUAGAUUGCAUUCAUAGUAGUUGCAUAUUUAAGACAUGGUAGAAAAUAAUGAAUUUUGUGGGUAGAUUCACUAUAAACCCUCACGAGACAAAACUCGUCCUACUAGGGCUGCCUAGGGGUUUAACGGCUUGUUGCAUACGCUCAAUGCAAUCGUGUCAUCUACGAAAGUGGUGUUAGUUAGUUAGGAUUUAGUUUAUUUCGCUUAUUUGCCUGAGGACGUGCAAAAGCUUAGUGUGAGGAUGUUUGAUAGAAUAUAUUUUUAUAUAUAUUCUAUAUGAUUUUAUUCUCAUAUUUAAUUAUAUUUUGCACUGAUUUGGAUAUUUAUUUAAUAUAUUUUCAUGUUUUAUUGUAGGGAAUAAAGAAUUCCAAGUUGAGAAGGAUUUGAAGAUAAAUUAGCUAUUUUGGAGCUAAAUUCUAUUAAAAUUCGGAUUUAUUGGGUUCUACCCGAUUUCUACACUGUUUGGGCCAUAUCUUGAGUUCCGGGUGUCAGAAUUGGACGAUCUUACAGCCCACGCGAAGCUCUUGAAAUUCUCUUUAAUUCAGAAGUGGUCCAAGAAGCAAAGUCCAACUGUAAAGGCCCGAAAACUGGACAGAACAGAAAGCUGCGAAUUUUGAGACUAAAUCCUACUUGGUUUUGGAGUUUUAUUUAUAUAUUAGUUUUAAAUAUUAAAAGACUAUAUAUUAUUAGAUAGAGGAUUAAUUUGAUCGUUGUACAAUAUUAGAUUAGAAUUAGGGUUAGAGAGAGAAGGAGGAGACCAUGACUUUUCUUGAUGUGACAACAUUAAAGGUUCAAGGUUUUAUCAUCUAAAUCUCUUUUCUUCUUGUUAGUUUUAUUAUGUCUUUUGAUUGUCUUGGUUAUUUUGUUUGUUUAGUUAUUAUUGACUAGUGUGUUCUAGGGCUUAAGGGGAAGCCAUGUUUGCACUAUGAUAUUGGCAUGAUUUUCAUAGUGAUUUGAUUUGUUGUGGUAAUUCUAAUUGAUAUGUUUUAAUAUUGAUUUGUGUAAUCGGCCGAUAUCAUGAAUUGAUACUAUGCGAAUAGGAGUAUGAUCGAGAGAUAUAUUACUAGAGGCACACAUACAAUUAGCAGAAUUGAAUUUGAAUGCGAGAGCAUCAUUGGAUUUCUGAAAGCGUUAAUACUCGAGAGAGAUUAACAAUGCUUUAAUUACCUGAUUAAUUGGAUUACUAAAAGUGAUUAUUUGUGUAAUCAUAUUUCGAGAGUGUUGAUGCUUGAGAGAGAUUAACAUACUCUUGUUAUUUGACCACUUUAGUUGCUUUACCUUAGAGCUAGUCAUUGUGUGAGCAUGGUGGACCUGAUUGCCCUGGACUUUUAACAUAUUAUUUUAGUGUCUUUUUAGUUAGUGUAAUUUAAUUGUUUUAGUUAGUUAGUUAAAAUAUCUUUGAUAAUCGUUUUGAUCCGGAAACAAUUGACUUUAACUGAAUAAAAAUUGAUAGCAUCUGUCUCCUUGAGGAUACGACCCGCAUUUGCCAGUCUGCACUACAACAGACACCGUGCGCUUGCGGUUAGUUAUAAAAUAACACAUCAAGUUUUUGGCGCCGCUGCCGGGGAGACGGCUAGUUUCUAUUAGUUUUGUUUGGUUAUCUAGAUUGUUUCCUUUGCCUUGUUGGAACCCUUGUUCCAAUUGAGGCGGAUUUUACUCUGUUUUCUUGGUUGUGUUGUGUUUUUCAGGUUUACAAUGGACGGAGUUGAUAACUUUGCUCGUCUAUCUUCCCUGAUCGAGGCAUAUACUCGUGAAAAUGCCUCAUUGAAUGCUACAGAGCCCACUACACGUCCACUGAGUAUCAACGAGAUGUCACAAGCUGCCCCGAAGACUUAUAACUUCUGUCAAGUUUGUGGUGUUCAGGGUCACUAUGGUUAUGAAUGCAAGUACAAUGUCUUUAAUUCUCCAAAUGCUCAGUUGGGACAAGUGAAUGAUUGUCAAGAAAGAUAUGAGUACAAUCACUAUUCUAAUUCUUGUGAUCAACAAUGGAUGGAUCAACAAGAUUUCUCUUACAUGGACAAUGAAUUUCAGAAUUUUUCAUAUCAUGAUCAACAACAAUUUCAGCAACAUCGUUAUGAAGAACCACCACUACAGCAAUAUGAUCAGUUUGAGCAGGAAUAUCAUCAACCUCAAUAUGAGCAACCUCAGUUUCAGCAGUAUCACUAUUCUCCACUUCAACAAGAGCUACAGGUUCCUUUAACCAAUGUAGAUGUGCCAUCGUAUCAGACGAAUGAAGUAUGUGAUAUGUUGAUAUAUAUGACCAAGAGUUUUGAGGAUGGUAUCAUGAACUUCCGGAAAUGCAUUGAAGAGAGUACCAUGAUGAUUAAAGAAUUAAAAGCUGAACAACUGAUGAUGGAGGGUCAAAUUGCACAAUUGGCUAGUUCUUCUUCUACAUGGCAAACCGAAUCCUCUCUACCUCCAUGUCUUCAAGUUGAAGAUGACAUAAAUACUAUCAUUCUUGCAAGUGAUGAAGACUGUGAUAGUUUUUCGAUCUGUGAUGAUGAUGCGCCUAUUGAUAAAGGGGAGGAUCAUGUCAUUGCCAAUGAAAUUGUUGAUGUUGUGGACCAUGUGCGUGAUGAUGAGCUAAGUGAAGAAAGCAAUAUCGAGUUGGUAGCAGUUUCUCCUCCGCCUCGUGUGCUUAAAUUACCAUUCUUGAAAGGAAUCAACUUAAUCAAGGUGGAUCAACAAUUUGAUAUGAAAAACUUUGCUUUUACUCGAACCUCAGCUCCAAUAUUUGAGAGCACAUGUUUUAAAGUUGAUGUGAUGAUUGUCCAAGAUGAGAUUUCUCAGAAUAUUUCCUAUGAUCCAUUUCAAAAGGCUCUUACACCUCAAGUCUUGGAAGAAGGUGUUUGCAAUAUUGACUUUUUAUUCAUUGAAGCAAGAAGAAGCCAAGAGAUUCAACUAGCUCCUGCGAAAGUGAGGAGUUCUGAAAAAUCACCACCGGAGCCUCCACCUCAUGUGAAUAUCAAGGGAGUUCAAUCUUUUGAUGGAUGUGAAUUCUAUCGUUGCUUUAUCACAAAGUUCUCCAAAUCUAUGAAAUAUAUUGAUCAGUUGUUAUAUCUUGAUGCGACAAUUAAUUUUAUUAAUGCUUGUUUGGAGACUUUCUGCAGGAUAAAGACAACAUUUGAUGUUAAGGAUUUUAUUUUUGGUGGUGAGAUCAUGUUUGAGAAAGCGGAAACUCCGCCUUUUACAUAUUCUUUUUGGAGGUAAAAAGUCAAGCUAAUGACUCUAAAAGAGCGCUACUUGGGAGGCAACCCAAGGUCUCUAUUAGUUUAUUUAUAUAAUAUAUUUUUGUAUUUUUUUAGGAGCUUAAAAUUUUUAUUUUCAUUUUUUUUACUCCCAUAAGAUGCCUUGAUGAAUUUGUGUGAAGUGUUUUCAGAUAUUAUAUCCAAUCACUC
rnacentral:lncRNA from 1 species